GUGAGGAAUAUUGGUCAAUGGGCGGAAGCCUGAACCAGCCAAGUCGCGUGAAGGAAGAAGGAUCUAUGGUUCGUAAACUUCUUUUGCAGGGGAAUAAAGUGCAGGACGUGUCCUGUUUUGUAUGUACCCUGAGAAUAAGGAUCGGCUAACUCCGUGCCAGCAGCCGCGGUAAUACGGAGGAUCCGAGCGUUAUCCGGAUUUAUUGGGUUUAAAGGGUGCGUAGGUGGUUUGAUAAGUCAGCGGUGAAAGUUUGCAGCUUAACUGUAAAAAUGCCGUUGAAACUGUCGGACUUGAGUGUAAAUGAGGUAGGCGGAAUGCGUGGUGUAGCGGUGAAAUGCAUAGAUAUCACGCAGAACUCCGAUUGCGAAGGCAGCUUACUAAGCUACAACUGACACUGAAGCACGAAAGCGUGGGUAUCAAACAGGAUUAGAUACCCGGGUAGUCC
rnacentral:rRNA from 1 species